UACGGGGGGAGCAAGCGUUGUUCGGAUUUACUGGGCGUAAAGGGCGCGUAGGCGGCACUGCAAGUCAGUUGUGAAAUCUCCGGGCUUAACCCGGAAAGGUCAACUGAUACUGCAGGGCUAGAGUGCAGAAGGGGCAACUGGAAUUCCAGGUGUAGCGGUGAAAUGCGUAGAUAUCUGGAGGAAUACCGGUGGCGAAGGCGGCAUCCUGGACCGACAUUGACGCUGAUGAGCGAAAGCUAGGGGAGCAAACGGG
rnacentral:rRNA from 1 species